rnacentral:rRNA from 1 species
AGUGAACGCUGGCGGUAGGCCUAACACAUGCAAGUCGAACGGCAGCACAGUAAGAGCUUGCUCUUACGGGUGGCGAGUGGCGGACGGGUGAGGAAUACAUCGGAAUCUACUUUUUCGUGGGGGAUAACGUAGGGAAACUUACGCUAAUACCGCAUACGACCUACGGGUGAAAGCAGGGGAUCUUCGGACCUUGCGCGAUUGAAUGAGCCGAUGUCGGAUUAGCUAGUUGGCGGGGUAAAGGCCCACCAAGGCGACGAUCCGUAGCUGGUCUGAGAGGAUGAUCAGCCACACUGGAACGGAGACACGGUCAAGACUCCUAGGGGAGGAAGCAGUGGGGAAUAUUGGAAAAUGGGCGCAAGCCUGAUCCAGCCAUACCGCGUGGGUGAAGAAGGCCUUCGGGUGGUAAAGCCUUUUUGUUGGGAAAGAAAAGCAGCAGGUUAAUACCCCGCUGUUCUGACGGUACCCAAAGAAAAAGCACCGGCUAACUUCGUG